AUACGUAGGGGGCAAGCGUUAUCCGGAUUUACUGGGUGUAAAGGGAGCGUAGACGGAAGGCCAAGUCUGAUGUGAAAGCCCGCGGCUCAACUGCGGGACUGCAUUGGAAACUGGUCAUCUGGAGUGCAGGAGGGGUAAGCGGAAUUCCUAGUGUAGCGGUGAAAUGCGUAGAUAUUAGGAAGAACACCGGUGGCGAAGGCGGCUAUCUGGACAGUAACUGACGCUGAGGCGCGAAAGCGUGGGGAGCAAACAGGAUUAGAUACCCGGGUAGUCCACGCCGUAAACGAUGAAUACUAGGUGUGGGGGGUAUCGACUCCCUCUGUGCCGCAGUUAACACAAUAAGUAUUCCGCCUGGGGAGUACGGCCGCAAGGUUGAAACUCAAAUGAAUUGGCGGGG
rnacentral:rRNA from 1 species